UUUGUGUUAGGCUUGGCAGUGAAGGAGUUGUGCACUCUGCACUCAGGAAUGAUAUUUGAAAAGGUUGUUGCUUAAGUUUGUUGUACUAAACUGUUUUAUCCUCUCACUGAGCAAGUUCUUCUGAUAUAUGGCAACUAUAGAAUAACUACUGGCUUAAAAUGGAAGAGUAACUGCAAUUCUAAUUUAAAUUGAAUUGUUACUUAAGGGUGGAAAUUUUACUUGCUUGUUGUAGUUCUUACAACAUCCUCCUGGGAAAAAGCUGGCAUCCCACAGAUUGGACAGAUGCACAGUUCACUGGGUGAAGAGCUGGCUGGAUGGGAGCAGCAUAAAGGAAGUGAGGAAUGGCUGGAGUCAGGGAGGAAAUGCAUGGGAACAUCUUAAACUGGCUAUACUGUCUGAAGACAAAACAAUG